UUUACGGAGAAAGCUUUAUGCGCCAAUGGAUGAGCCCGCACUUGAUUAGUUUGUUGGUGGGGUAAUGGCCUACCAAGACAAUGAUCAAUAGCUGAUUUGAGAGGAUGAUCAGCCACAUUGGGACUGAGACACGGCCCAAACUCCUACGGGAGGCAGCAGUAGGGAAUCUUGCACAAUGGGGGAAACCCUGAUGCAGCGAUGCCGCGUGAGUGAAGAAGGCCCUUGGGUUGUAAAGCUCUUUCGUCGGGGAAGAAAAUGACUGUACCCGAAUAAGAAGGUCCGGCUAACUUCGUGCCAGCAGCCGCGGUAAUACGAAGGGACCUAGCGUAGUUCGGAAUUACUGGGCUUAAAGAGUUCGUAGGUGGUUAAAAAAGUUGGUGGUGAAAUCCCAGAGCUUAACUCUGGAACUGCCAUCAAAACUUUUUAGCUAGAGUAUGAUAGAGGAAAGCAGAAUUUCUAGUGUAGAGGUGAAAUUCGUAGAUAUUAGAAAGAAUACCGAUUGCGAAGGCAGCUUUCUGGAUCAUUACUGACACUGAGGAACGAAAGCAUGGGUAGCGAAGAGGAUUAGAUACCCUCGUAGUCCAUGCCGUAAACGAUGUGUGUUAGACGU
rnacentral:rRNA from 1 species